GACGAACCGAGCGAACGUUGUUCGGAAUCACUGGGCUUAAAGGGCGCGUAGGCGGGCUGUCAAGUCUGGGGUGAAAUCCCGCGGCUCAACCGUGGAACUGCCUCAGAUACUGACGGUCUCGAGGGAGGUAGGGGCGUGCGGAACUUCCGGUGGAGCGGUGAAAUGCGUAGAUAUCGGAAGGAACACCGGUGGCGAAAGCGGCGCGCUGGACCUCUUCUGACGCUGAGGCGCGAAAGCCAGGGGAGCAAACGGG
rnacentral:rRNA from 1 species